UACGUAGGGUGCAAGCGUUAAUCGGAAUUACUGGGCGUAAAGCGUGCGCAGGCGGUUUUGUAAGUUUGUCGUGAAAGCCCCGGGCUCAACCUGGGAAUGGCGAUGAAGACUGCAAGGCUUGAAUCUGGCAGAGGGGGGUAGAAUUCCACGUGUAGCGGUGAAAUGCGUAGAGAUGUGGAGGAACACCGAUGGCGAAGGCAGCCCCCUGGGUCAAGAUUGACGCUCAUGCACGAAAGCGUGGGGAGCAAACAGG
rnacentral:rRNA from 1 species